AUUAAACAACCGCAUAGCCCGGAAAAAUGUGGUUAUUUACUCUGCCCUUGGUCUUCAGUCUUCACUCAUUAGCCGUGGCCCAAAGUCCCAAACCACUCAGUCACUCACUCACUUCAAGUCUCGUCGCUCUCUCUCCCCGAACAAAAUGGGGAUUUCAAGUGUUUGGUAAAUUUGUUAUUUGUCCACGGUUUUAAAGGUAUUCUUCUUAUUCUGAUAGAUCUGAUCUGUUGUUUUGAUUUGAUUUUGUUUCUGGCUUUCUGCAAUUAUAUUUAUAUUGGUAUUUUCGAUCAGGAAUUAAGUAAACCAAGAUUGUUCCUUUUCUUUUAUUCUUUAUUUUCGAGCUAUGUGUUACUGGCUUAAGCAUUCCUGCAACAAUUCUGGAUUUCAUUUUUAUUAAGUGAACUUUUGGGCAUGGAUGAAUUUGAUAUUCUCAGUGCUUUCACUUAUUAUUGAAAUCAUAGUAUCUACAAUGUACUAUGUAGUAUAAUACUAUGAUUUCAAUUUUCAACUAAUAAGUUCUUAGUCUUUCGCUCUUUACCUACAUCAUUAAUUUAUUAGCUUUUGCAACUCAUCUUCCUGAGCCUUUAGAUACUAUUAAAUCAUUGAUAUUCUUAAAACUGCCAACCAAAGUUUUGAUUUUUAUUAUGUUUUUCUUUAGAUAUUACUGUUGGUGAUGUUUUUGAGUAUGUAUGGAGGAACAUUUUUUUUUUUUUAACUAUAAUUAGGAUUCCAACUAUAGGAGUUUCACUGGUUAUGAUAUAAAUAGAAGACUGCGAAGCAGUGGGCACCGUUCGUGGAAUUGAAGAGAUCGAUUAGUGAAGAGAAGAACAAGAUAUAUGGAGAGAAGGAUAAGAAAAUGAAGAAAUUGAAUUGAAAUUAGAAUGAUUUCAGGAAAUUGAAAUUGGAGGAUGGAAGGAAGGAAAUUGAAGGAUACGGGAAGAAGAAGAAGAAGAAUAUGUGAAGGAGAUGAUAGAGAGGGAGAAGAAAUCGAAGGAAAUGAUAGCUAAAAGAAGGGAAGAUAGGAGAGAUUGAGGGAGGAAGAAGAAGAGCGGGGAAAAAAAAACAAGACAGACGGACAGACAUCAUUUAAGACAUUUUAUUUUUUACAUCCCAUCCCAAAAACCUCCCUAUGGUCGGUGGAUCAUGAACACAACUAGUAUGUAAGUACUAAAUCACAAUUCUCUCAUACAAACAGGGCUUAUUAGUGAGAAAUUACCAAGUUACAACUGUAGACUGCAUAAAGUUUUAAGAUUAUGAAAUCAGUUAGAGGUUGCUUUCACUUUAUAGAGCUGUAAGGAGGUUCAGUAUAUGGGUAUGGGAUCACUGCUCAUUGUGGAAGGGAAUAGUUAACUAUAAGAGAUUAGUUACCAAUCUCAGCUCGACUCGACUGCUCUUUUAUGUUAACGUUCCCAGAAGUCAGUUAAUAGUCUAGAAUGAAAAGGGGUGCAAGCAUGGGACUUCAAAUUUAGAAAUAGGUUUUUUGACAGGGAUCUAAAUACAAAAAGGUCACAGAGUUUAUGCAUGGUAUUAAGUUGAAUAUAACGUUGAUCAAAGGUGGACUACAAAUCUUUAUCCCUACUACUCUGAACGUUAUGUGCGAGGUUAUUGAAACAAGGAGUUGGGUGAACGAAAUUUCCUAGUUUCCCAUCAAAGGUGAACUUUGCUGUAAAUUUGGAUUUUGAUGUUGGGUAGAAGAUCCUGAUUACCUGCAAUAAUUUGCAGGAGGGGAUAUUCGUUAUGGCCAACAGAUGCACAUUAUCCAUAGGGAGCAGAAGCAAUUUCAUGCCUACUCCUGGACUGCAAUAUGGAUGAGUAGCCGAGUACGUGGACAGUACUUCUGCUCAUAGCAACUUGACUCGGACAAGCUGGAAUUUUUUUUACUGCCCACAAUAAACUAAGAGGAUAUCAUUGUAAUGUAGAUACUUUUGCUGGCUUGAGCUUAAAUUUUCUCAACGCCACUUAAUAUCCCCUUGAAGGCUUGACUACAAUAUAUUUUGUUAUUAAAUCUGAAUUGUUUUGUUUUUCUUGUUGGAUUGUUUUUUGUUUUCAGAAUGUAAAAUCCAUGAGCAAGCUUACAUCGGAUGAAGACAUAAAA
rnacentral:lncRNA from 1 species